rnacentral:snRNA from 1 species
GUGCAUGCACAUAUACUAAAAGUGGAAUGAUACAGAGAGGAUUAGCAUGGCCCCUGCACAAGGAUGACACACAAAUUCGUGAAGCAUUCCAUAUUUUC